AGGCGGUCAUGUAAGUCUGGUGUUUAAUCCCGGGGCUCAACCCCGGAUCGCACUGGAAACUGCGUGACUUGAGUGCAGAAGAGGAGAGUGGAAUUCCACGUGUAGCGGUGAAAUGCGUAGAGAUGUGGAGAACACCAGUGGCGAGGCGACUCUCUGGGCUGUAACUGACUCUGAGGCGCGAAAGCGUGGGAGCAACAGGAUUAGAUACCCUGGUAGUCCACACCGUAGACAUGACUGCUGGGUGUUAGGCGUUUCCAUACCCUUGGUGCCGAAGUUAACACAUUAAGCACUCCGCCUGGGGAGUACGGUCGCAAGACUGAAACUCAAAGGAAUUGACGGGGACCCG
rnacentral:rRNA from 1 species